rnacentral:rRNA from 1 species
AACGAACGCUGGCGGCAGGCCUAACACAUGCAAGUCGAACGCACCGCAAGGUGAGUGGCGCACGGGUGAGUAACACGUGGGAAUGUACCCCUUUGGUUCGGAAUAACGUUUUGGAAACGAACGCUAAUACCGGAUGAGCCCUGUGGGGGAAAGAUUUAUCGCCAAAGGAGCAGCCCGCGUCUGAUUAGCUAGUUGGUGGGGUAAAGGCCUACCAAGGCGACGAUCAGUAGCUGGUCUGAGAGGAUGAUCAGCCACACUGGGACUGAGACACGGCCCAGACUCCUACGGGAGGCAGCAUGGGG